rnacentral:rRNA from 1 species
AACGAACGCUGGCGGCAGGCCUAACACAUGCAAGUCGAACGCCCCGCAAGGGGAGUGGCAGACGGGUGAGUAACGCGUGGGAACGUACCCUUCGGUUCGGGAUAACUCAGGGAAACUUGAGCUAAUACCGGAUACGUCCGAGAGGAGAAAGAUUUAUCGCCGAGGGAUCGGCCCGCGUCUGAUUAGCUUGUUGGUGAGGUAACGGCUCACCAAGGCGACGAUCAGUAGCUGGUCUGAGAGGAUGAUCAGCCACAUUGGGACUGAGACACGGCCCAAACUCCUACGGGAGGCAGCAGUGGGGAAUAUUGGACAAUGGGCGCAAGCCUGAUCCAGCCAUGCCGCGUGAGUGAUGAAGGCCCUA